CGUGUAUAAAAGCAGCGCGAGCCUCCCUAGUCUCUCUCUCUCUUCCUGCUCUCCACGAGAUGAAGGACCGACAGACUUCUAAUCAUGACUCGACCAGUAAUGGCGCCACCAAGUUUGGACCCUGGCUGUCUGCCUACAUCACAGGUACUGCUGAAAGUGAGAAGACGAAGCACAGACACUUCAUCACUUGCUGGUGACCAUGUCUGACCACUAAAGUGACUGGAUUAGGACUGCUCUCCUAAGGUGACCAUGGCUGACCACUAAAGUGACUGGAUAAGGACCGCUCAUGUCAUGGCAUCACUCUGACUCAUGACCUCAGGUCUGGCAUCGCUGGGCCGUGCGGGCUCCCAACCCUUCCUGCUUCUCAAGAUACUGAUGUGUGCUCUACAAAGUGGAGCGUUGGAGACCUUCACCUGUCUGGGGGAAAUGCUGCAGGCUGUCCCCAAAGGGCAACAAUCUCAGUCAACAAAAGCAUCAUGUUUAACUGCAAUGUUGAAUAGUUGCCAUAACUUUCAUGCACCUUAAAUGAAAAGGUUUGAAAUGUGUAUUGUGAAAACUUGUUUGUAUGCAAUAAAAAAACCCAACUACAAACUAA